rnacentral:rRNA from 1 species
UGAUCCUUGCUCAGGAUGAACGCUGGCGGCGUGCUUAACACAUGCAAGUCGAACGAAGUCUUUCGGGACUUAGUGGCGGACGGGUGAGUAACGCGUGAGGAUCUGCCUUCAGGUGGGGGACAACAACUGGAAACGGUUGCUAAUACCGCAUAUGGCGAGAGCUAAAAGCUUAAUGUGCCUGAAGAUGAACUCGCGUCUGAUUAGCUAGUUGGUGAAGUAAAGGUUUACCAAGGCGACGAUCAGUAGCUGGUCUGAGAGGAUGAUCAGCCACACUGGGACUGAGACACGGCCCAGACUCCUACGGGAGGCAGCAGUGGGGAAUUUUCCGCAAUGGGGGCAACCCUGACGGAGCAACGCCGCGUGGGGGAGGAAUGUCUGUGGAUUGUAAACCCCUUUUCUCAGGGAAGAAGAUCUGACGGUACCUGAGGAAUCAGCAUCGGCUAACUCCGUGCCAGCAGCCGCGGUAAGACGGAGGAUGCAAGCGUUAUCCGGAAUUAUUGGGCGUAAAGCGUCCGUAGGCGGUUUAUCAAGUCUGUCGUUAAAGACUGCAGCUUAACUGUGGGCAAGCGGUGGAAACUGAAGAACUGGAGUGCGGUAGGGGUAGAGGGAAUUCCCAGUGUAGCGGUGAAAUGCGUAGAUAUUGGGAAGAACACCAGUGGCGAAGGCGCUCUACUGGGCCGUAACUGACGCUGAGGGACGAAAGCUAGGGGAGCGAAAGGGAUUAGAUACCCCUGUAGUCCUAGCUGUAAACGAUGGAUACUAGGUGUUGGAUGUAUCGACCCAUUCAGUACCGAAGCCAACGCGAUAAGUAUCCCGCCUGGGGAGUACGCACGCAAGUGUGAAACUCAAAGGAAUUGACGGGGGCCCGCACAAGCGGUGGAGUAUGUGGUUUAAUUCGAUGCAACGCGAAGAACCUUACCAGGGCUUGACAUCCCGCGAAUCCUCGGGAAACUGAGGAGUGCCUUCGGGAGCGCGGAGACAGGUGGUGCAUGGCUGUCGUCAGCUCGUGUCGUGAGAUGUUGGGUUAAGUCCCGCAACGAGCGCAACCCACGUCCUUAGUUGCCAUCAUUCAGUUGGGCACUCUGGGGAGACUGCCGGGGACAACUCGGAGGAAGGUGUGGAUGACGUCAAGUCAUCAUGCCCCUUACGUUCUGGGCUACACACGUACUACAAUGCUUCGGACAAAGGGCAGCCAACUAGCGAUAGUGAGCUAAUCCCAUAAACCGAGGCACAGUUCAGAUUGCAGGCUGCAACUCGCCUGCAUGAAGGAGGAAUCGCUAGUAAUCGCAGGUCAGCAUACUGCGGUGAAUACGUUCCCGGGCCUUGUACACACCGCCCGUCACACCAUGGGAGUUGGCCACGCCCGAAGUCGUUACUCUAACCAUUCGUGGAGGAGGGCGCCGAAGGUGGGGCUGAUGACUGGGGUGAAGUCGUAACAAGGUAGCCGUACCGGAAGGUGUGGCUGGAUCACCUCCUUUUAGGGAGACCUUACCUGUUCAUUGCAAGCAAGAUGUUAUCGCUGUGAUGAGCGAGGUCAUCUUAAGGUCGUUCAGGAUUCGUUUUAGGUUAGGCUUUCAAUAUUGUUGAGGAUUACUCAUUAAUACUGAUUAAUUAGGGCUAUUAGCUCAGGUGGUUAGAGCGCACCCCUGAUAAGGGUGAGGUCCCUGGUUCGAGUCCAGGAUGGCCCACUGAGUGGGGGUAUAGCUCAGCUGGUAGAGCGCCUGCUUUGCAAGCAGGAUGUCAGCGGUUCGAGUCCGCUUACCUCCACCAUGGCAAGAAAGUUGAGAUUUAGAUAACAGCACCGUAUUUACCGAUUGAGGUGAAGUAAGCUGCUGGGCUCUAAGUUCAGCGAGAGACCCUUGACAACUGCAUAGAGAUAUUGAGUCAAAAGGUAGUUAAAGACAAUCUUUUUUCGAGAUUUUGAGAGAAGGUCAAGCUACAAAGGGCUCACGGUGGAUACCUAGGCACGCA